rnacentral:rRNA from 1 species
CCUACGGGAGGCAGCAGUGGGGAAUAUUGCACAAUGGGGGAAACCCUGAUGCAGCAACGCCGCGUGAAGGAAGACGGUUUUCGGAUUGUAAACUUCUGUUCUUAGUGAAGAAUAAUGACGGUACCUGAGUAAGAAGCCCCGGCUAACUACGUGCCAGCAGCCGCGGUAAUACGUAGGGGGCAAGCGUUAUCCGGAUUUACUGGGUGUAAAGGGAGCGUAGACGGCGAUACAAGUCUGAAGUGAAAGCCCGGGGCUCAACCCCGGGACUGCUUUGGAAACUGUGUUGCUGGAGUGCUGGAGAGGCAAGCGGAAUUCCUAGUGUAGCGGUGAAAUGCGUAGAUAUUAGGAAGAACACCAGUGGCGAAGGCGGCUUGCUGGACAGUAACUGACGUUGAGGCUCGAAAGCGUGGGGAGCAAACAGGAUUAGAUACCCCAGUAGUC